AUCUCUGAACCAUAAUUUCCACCUCCUCUUCUCUUUUUCUCUCUCAAAUUCCAUCAGGUUUACAUAAGGAUCUGCCAUCUAGAUCUGCAUCUGCCCUUUCUCUCGAUUCAACUUAAAUCAAAGAAGAAAAAUCAUGCCAUGGAUUGAAGAUCUUAUCAACUAUCAACUAUCUCUCUCUAUAACUCAGAGCUAGGGUUUUGAAGUCAGAACCACAAGGUGAAAAACGAAGAAUCAAGUUGAUUUAAUCCAUAAAAGAUUUCAGAUCUCGAUUGAUUUAGGUAUAAUCUCGAUUGAUUCAGGUGAAAAACAUAACCCUAACUCGAAAUCAGCCUUAUUCAGCCAUAUGUUGUUAUUGUCAUAUGAAUUCAAGAACCAUAAAGCCAAAAUCAAAGUUGGUGAUUUGUGCUUAUAUAGAGAUAAAGCAUUGAAAAGGAUUUAGUCCUGAUGAAGAAACAUCAAUGGGAUUAGUUCAGCAUGAAGGUGGCCGUGUGGUGUAUUAGCAGCUAUACAAGUAAACAUCUUGAGUUCUCAGUUUACCUCUUUAUUUGUGAAUUAAUGUUGUGUAGAAUACAUAUUUGGAUUGUCUUAAUUUGAAUGAUAUAAACCUAAAAAUACCAUAGUUACAAGUUAGAAAAAAACAAUUCAGGUUUGGUUUUAAACCCUUAUCUUUUAAGGCACAGUUUUUGGUUCAUUAAGCAAUUAUUUUUUUGGUACAUUAAAAGUUGAUUGAUAAAAACUGACAUUUUGUAUAAAGCACUGAAAAAAAAAAGCAGGAGUGAGAAGAAGAGUCAAAAGACGAUGUUUCGGUGUCGAUAAUAUGAGCCGAGAACAUAAUUCAAGGAUCUCUAGAAGGAUCCUCCUACCUCUUGCAGUGCAGUUCUUAAAGGGAUUUCUGACGGGUUAGCUAGAGGAAAGAAACCUGAUGAAUGGAGAAAUUGGUGAUUGAUCUAUUGAAGGCUCAUAUGAGACAUCCACAGGCAUCAGAGGUUAACAACAAAGAUAUCAUAUCUCAUUUUGUUUUGCGUCUCAUGUAUUGUCGAUCAGAAGAAUUGAGGAAAUGGUUUCUUUCAAUGGAAAGUACUCCGUUUAGCUACUGGUUUCUUGUAAUAUUUUAGAGAAGAUUUGAACUGUUGGAGUUGAAAGGGAGAAUGAUCAUGUUGACCAGUAUGAUGAUAAUGUGAAUGGAGGAGUGGAAUAUGAUAGAUGUUCUCCUAGAGUAUAACUGGAAAGAAAUUGAACUGUAACAACGUUUUGAUAAGUUUUUACCUUUGCCACCCAUGUAUCAUGCGGAAGUAUGCCACAAAAGGUAAAUAUCCACAUGUAUAAACUAAAAUAGUCAAAGCAUCAUUUACAAAAAAUUUGUGUUUUUUUCCACUGUUACAUGAAGAACAUGCAUUGGAAACAUAUAUUCUAGCAAAUAAAUUGAUGCUUCAGCUUUCAA